UACGUAGGGCGCAAGCGUUUGUCCGGAAUUAUUGGGCGUAAAGAGCUCGUAGGCGGCUUGUCACGUCGGGUGUGAAAGCCCGGGGCUUAACCCCGGGUCUGCAUUCGAUACGGGCUAGCUAGAGUGUGGUAGGGGAGAUCGGAAUUCCUGGUGUAGCGGUGAAAUGCGCAGAUAUCAGGAGGAACACCGGUGGCGAAGGCGGAUCUCUGGGACGGUACUGACGCUGAGACGCGAAAGCGUGGGGAGCGAACAGG
rnacentral:rRNA from 1 species